GGCUGACAGGAGCUGAGGCAUCACCCGCCUGAAACAGGGAAGACCCCCCGAGUUGGAGCCCAAGCCAUGGAAGAAAAGGCGCAGAAAGAGACGGUGCCAGGAGGAGACACAACAGUGGGUCCGGACCAAGCAGGGACCAGGCGGACAGGAAGCAGAGCCCCCGUGUGCGCAGCCCCCUUGGCUCUCAGAGGGCGUGCGAGGCCCUGUCCACGCGGUGGUGACCUGGGGUCUCCGGACCCCAGCCAGGUCACCAGCUGGCUCUGCGUGGGCAGGUCCCUGGGGAGGAGCCCGGACAUGGAGAUGACGCCGUCCACGCCCUGCUGGGAGGGUCCCAGCCAAAUGAGGCAUGCGCAGCCGCACAGAGGCCCCUGGGAGACCAGGCAGAGCCCAGCUGUCCUCUCACGCCACCAGCAGCACACUCAGUUCUGUGCCACUGACAUCCGCUGGGGCCGCUGGGUGGGGGCUGGGCCAACAUUCCCCCACCAUGGGCGCCCCCAUGCUCUCCAUGGUCAGGCCUGGGUGGGGUGGGGGGGCAGGCAGUGGCCCGGUCCCUCCCCCUGGUGGCCACACUCACUCACUCCCCUCCAGCAGCUCCAAAACAGAACGAAGAUCUGAGAACAAACCUUUAUCCUCUGGUUUUAGACUCGAAACCAGCAGCAAACAGUUAGGCACACCGAGCCCUACCCUGAAGCUGGCAGCCUGGAGCCCCUGCCAUCCCGGGUAUGCCCCCCGAGCUCCAGUUUCCUCCUCCCGUCUGUGUUUAUAGAUGAAGCUGGGGCACAGGGACCUCAGUGACCUCCCCGACCUCAGCAGCCGUGGCCAGGACGGUGCACAGCCCAGCUCUCUCCUCAGUCCUGACCCCAAGCUCCAGCCCCACUUCCGGCAG
rnacentral:lncRNA from 1 species